rnacentral:rRNA from 1 species
UAGGGAAUCUUCCGCAAUGGACGCAAGUCUGACGGAGCAACGCCGCGUGAGUGAAGAAGGAUUUCGGUGCGUAAAACUCUGUUGUUAGAGAAGAACAGCGCAUAGAGUAACUGUUAUGCGUGUGACGGUAUCUAACCAGAAAGCCACGGCUAACUACGUGCCAGCAGCCGCGGUAAUACGUAGGUGGCAAGCGUUGUCCGGAUUUAUUGGGCGUAAAGCGAGCGCAGGCGGUCAAUUAAGUCUGAUGUGAAAGCCCCCGGCUCAACCGGGGAGGGUCAUUGGAAACUGGUUGACUUGAGUGCAGAAGAGGAGAGUGGAAUUCCAUGUGUAGCGGUGAAAUGCGUAGAUAUAUGGAGGAACACCAGUGGCGAAAGCGGCUCUCUGGUCUGUAACUGACGCUGAGGCUCGAAAGCGUGGGGAGCGAACAGG